AGCAUAUUCAAACAUGUACUGCAAAUCUUGAGCAGGUUGUAAAUAAAGUGUGAGAGUGAAUUAGUUACCACAAUUCUUGUAAAUUUAGCUAUCUUUUACAUAACAAUAAUAUUAAUGUGAUAGUUUCUUUGGCAAGCAAUCCUUAAUUUUCUAAUGUGCGUGCCAUAUUAUGUGAAAGAUUGCCAGAGCUAUAUAUGAUGUUGAGGAGGCAACUUCUACUGCCUUUGAUAUCAUCUUAGGGAACAAGAUGUUUUGUCAUGGAAGUACGAAUGACACUAGAGGUUUCAGUUCCAACAAGUUGAUUAUGACAAAGCGG